rnacentral:rRNA from 1 species
AACGAACGCUGGCGGCAUGCCUAACACAUGCAAGUCGAACGAGACCUUCGGGUCUAGUGGCGCACGGGUGCGUAACGCGUGGGAACCUGCCCUUAGGUUCGGAAUAACUCCCCGAAAGGGGUGCUAAUACCGGAUAAUGUCUUCGGACCAAAGAUUUAUCGCCUUUGGAUGGGCCCGCGUUGGAUUAGCUAGUUGGUAGGGUAAAAGCCUACCAAGGCGACGAUCCAUAGCUGGUCUGAGAGGAUGAUCAGCCACACUGGGACUGAGACGCGGCCCAGACGCAGACGGGAGGGACAGGGGGGAAAUAGUGAAAAGGGGGGAAAGGCUGGAACACACAUGGCCGGGUGAGUAAUAAGGGCUUAGGGGUGGAAAAGCUUUUUCACCGGGAAAAAAAAAGACGGUGCGGGGAAAAUAAGCCCGGGCUACCCCCGUC